UACGUAGGGAGCAAGCGUUGUCCGGAUUUACUGGGUGUAAAGGGAGCGCAGGCGGGUUAGUCAGUCAGAGGUGAAAUCUCACAGCUUAACUGUGAAACUGCCUUUGAUACUGCUAAUCUUGAGUUAAUGAGAGAGAGACGGAAUUCCAGGUGUAGUGGUGAAAUACGUAGAUAUCUGGAAGAACACCAGUGGCGAAGGCGGUCUCUUGGCAUUAUACUGACGCUGAGGCUCGAAAGCGUGGGGAGCGAACAGG
rnacentral:rRNA from 1 species